GUUUAAUUAGUUUAAAUUUUAAAAUAACAAAUUGUGGAUUUGUAGAUAUGUCAAUAUUAAACA
rnacentral:tRNA from 1 species